AUUGAACGCUGGCGGCAUGCCUUACACAUGCAAGUCGAACGGCAGCGGACCUUCGGGUGCCGGCGAGUGGCGAACGGGUGAGUAAUAUAUCGGAACGUACCUUUCAGUGGGGGAUAACGUAGCGAAAGUUACGCUAAUACCGCAUAUUCUGUGAGCAGGAAAGCAGGGGAUCGCAAGACCUUGCGCUGAUUGAGCGGCCGAUAUCAGAUUAGCUAGUUGGUGAGGUAAAGGCUCACCAAGGCGACGAUCUGUAGCGGGUCUGAGAGGAUGAUCCGCCACACUGGAACUGAGACACGGUCCAGACUCCUACGGGAGCGGCAGUGGGGAAUUUUGGACAAUGGGCGCAAGCCUGAUCCAGCCAUGCCGCGUGAGUGAAGAAGGCC
rnacentral:rRNA from 1 species